UCAAUCCUUCGUACGAUUUGAGACAGAUGAGACAAACUCCAUUGGCAUUCCAGAGCAAAUACGGUAGAGCUGAAGGACCAGCAGGACAAAAUUAGUGACAAAGGAAGUUGCAGCAGCAGCAGAAAACGAUAAAAAGUAAACAACAACACAACAAAAUACCAGAGACUGAGAUUGACGGUCUACGUUUCCUCAAUAAUUGUGGUCACCUUUCACCUGCUUCUUCUUUCUUCUUCCUUUCCCCUCAAACUCCGCCGCCACCGUAUAACACAUUCUCACCUGUAAUCCAGUAAAGAAAAAAGAUAGCAGUAGUAACAUCUUCCCUCUAUUUAAACACACACAAUUUCAGGAUUCUGUUCACUCCCUUUUGGCCUAUUUAACUCCUUCCC
rnacentral:lncRNA from 1 species